UUUUAAUUUUGCUGUAAGUAUUCCACUUUAUUUUGAUCUAAUGGAAGGAACCGCGAACUGGAACCUCGAUGGCACUCGACGUGACUCUCCACCUCGGUACUCCAUCGCGCUUCACGCUUCGAACUACACGUGGCCUAAUUCCUUUAUAGCCAAGGAUAUGUAGGCAGCUCCGAGACCAGGGCUCGGCCACAUUUCCUUUCUCUACGUAUUGUCUCUCUAAAUAAGGGUCAGGUUAAAAAUCAUGUCUUGUUAUUCUUUAUCUGAAAACACCUUGUGUUUUCCGUCAAAGAGGGGGAGCUGUAGACAUGUAAUUUAUGACCUACACAUUAUAAUUACUUUUAAUAGUUCUAGUUUUUUUGGGAUAUUCAUUUGGGCUUAUUCCU
rnacentral:lncRNA from 1 species